CUGGAUACGUUUAAGCCUGUGAGUCGAGAGACUUUGGGUCUCGGCAUACUGCUCAGUAACACGUGGAUAACCUGACCUCCGGAGGAGAAUAACCUCGGGAAACUGAGACUAAUGCUCCAUAGGUUUUACAGGCUGGAAUGCGGUAAAAUCAAAAGCUCCGGCGCCGGAGGAUGGAUCUGCGGCCUAUCAGGUAGUAGUGGGUUCCAGGCCCUACGGGGCGCAGCAGGCGCGAAAACUUCGCCAAUGCGGGAAACCCGCGACCGAGGGUAUUCCAAAGUGCUAUUGCGAUGCAAUAGCUUUUCAAAAGCCUAAAAAGCUUUUGGAAUAAGGGCUUGGGUAAGUCUGGUGCCAGCCCGCCGCGGUAAUACCAGCAGCUCAAGUGGUGGUCGAUAUUAUUGAGCCUAAAGCGUCCGUAGCCGGACGGGUAAAUUCUUGGGUAAAUCAAACAGCUUAACUGUUCGACUUCCGAGAAGACUGCCCGUCUUGGGACUGGAAUCCUUAGGGGACCACCAGUGGCGAAGGCGUCCGACUAGAACGGGUCCGACGGUGAGGGACGAAGCCCAGGGGCGCAAACCGGAUUAGAUACCCGGGUAGUCCUGGGUGUAAACGCUGCAGAUUUGGUGUUGGGGGUUCCAUGAGAGCGCCCAGUGCCGGAGAGAAGUUGUUAAAUGUGCCGCUAAAAGACGUCUGGCCCCCAAAA
rnacentral:rRNA from 1 species